GCGUUGGUGGUACAGUGGUUAGAAUAGCUGCCUUCCAAGCAGUUUACCCUGGUUAGAAUCCCCACCAACAUA
rfam:Nematostella vectensis strain CH2 x CH6 NEMVEscaffold_125_Cont14352, whole genome shotgun sequence.